CUGAGAACCAGGAGAAAAACCCGCACAGACACAAAAUAUUGAAACCAAGAAGUCUUGAAUAUCCGUUUGAAGAAACCGGUCUUCUCUGUGUCCGGCUUUGCCUUUCUUUUUCUCGACCCAGUCUCUCUGUCCUUAGUCUUUCUGCUAAAGAAGCUUCUGUUCUUUUUCGUUUCAAGGCAAAUGUCCUCAAGUUCCUUUAUUUCUUUCCUUCAGUUGUUCGAGUUCAAUCUCAUUUCUACGUUUGUCUUUCAGCAUCUCGUUUAUCUUGCCUUCUUCUGUAUCAAACAGGGUAAUUUUAUUGUUGGUCAUGAAAAUUUGAUUGGAGUAUUAUAAUGGUGUUAAUGUCUCUGACAACUCUUGUUUCUUGAAGAAUUAAUUCCUAAACUUUUGCUUCACACAGCUUUACUGUGUCUGGGAUGUCUUCCUCAGAAUACUGUUUCUCCUCCCAAGUUUUUUUGUUCUCGAAAUACUGCUGUUCCUGAUGAAUCAGACGUUUUCUGGUCUCCUCGAUCAACAAAGACGGACCAUCUCCGGUGUUGUAAAGUUCCAUGAGUAGGUCUCGGAGGGACGGCAGAUUGCAGCCGAUCACCCUCUCUGCAGAGCGGAUGACACGCUGCAGCCUGCCCGUGUCCUUGGCUGUGGCUUUAAGGUACCAGAUGAGGAUGGACUCAAUGACGGCCCGAUAGAAGUGCCAACCACCAUCAUUGACUUUGGGAGGUUGAAUUUCUUUAGCUGCUCAAGAAGAGCCCGUUUGCUCUGUAGGCAAACUGCAGGACAUCCAGGAAGGGGGAGGUAAAGGAUGGUUGUGAAGCUGUGGUGGGGUAAGGCCAGGGCGCUUUAACUUUGCCCAUCGUUUCCAAACUAGCGGAGGACAGAUCCAGUGGAGGAGGUGGAGCUCGAUACGAAGUGAGUUUGAUUGCAGCCAUAUUCAGCUUUUUCAUGUAGUCAGUGAAAUCUGUGUGGAAAGAGAGCAGGAAUCUGAUAAUUAGGUUAGACUCCUUCUUUUGGCUCUCUUAUCAGGCAGGGGCCUCCUUCCCUAAGGCGCUCUAUGGUGAUGUUGUCUGGUUAUCGCUUCUUCAGACUCUUCUUGUCUCGUGUCCUUGGCACUGGCACUGAGGAGUAGCCGGGUGACACAGAAAGUCAAAUAGUUGGAGGUAAAUAGUUUUACCCCUGACUUGUUUAGCCAAACUCCAUCUGGCUUAAAAAGGUGUCUGCGCACCCAGAAAAUGUUGUCUCUUGAGUUAGAGACCAUAUCUUUCGAGGAACAGAGUAUUUCUGUGUUAUUUCUUCAAAUCGUUCACAUCAUAGUUGCCCAGUCAGCGGCUCUCCCUCUGGCCUUCUACAUUCACGUUUACAUUUAGUUCCUGCUUUGAGAAUAGAUAGCGGAUUAUCUAGGAUUCUAGGACACUAUAAAUUCUGUUUUGCAGUUAUAGACUAUUUUGUUCUCUUUUUCUCAGUGGGCCUUGGCUUUGUCCUGCUGAAUGCAAGGGUUGAUGAGGAGUUCUCCCUUUGUGGAAGUGCAUGUGGUGCAGUCGCAUCACAAAUCUUGGUGCGCUGUGCUCUGCCUGUAUGAUGGGGUAUGAUUGUACCAAGAUAGUUCAAGGGAGGACUACCAGUUAAAGAUUCAGUACCAAAGCCCUCCUGUUUCUUGACCUAGUGGUGCUAGUUUAACUUAUUUUUAAAAGCCUCCUUGGAUCGGUAGAGAAUCAUUUACCUUGACCAUAAACUAUAUUCUAAUAUACAUUUAAAUGGCUAUGGAUAUUAUAAAAUAUGCAAAUAUAUCAGCAACCGAGGUAAGUGAUCAUUAUCACAACUCAGACAGAGACCGCAGAUAUGAGGAAUAAGGUUUAAUGAAGAGGAAUUCGGGCAGGCAGUGUCGUUGUCAGAGGCAGGCCGGAGUUCGGUACACAGGAGGUCGGAGGUACAGAGGUGGCAGGCCGUGUCGUUGUCGGAGGCAGGCAGGGGUCAGUACACGGGGAAUCUCAAGAAUCGACUGGAAACUACAGGGAUAUAACGCUGGUAAGACCUGGUGAAACACACAAGACGAACUGGCAACAAGAACAGGGAGAAGACACAGGUUAUAUGCCAAAGGGAUAAUUGACAAACAGGGAACACCUGGUGUGGGAGGAGACAGGGGAAAAACAGGUGAAAACAGGUGAACACAAUUAGGGCGUGACAAUCAUAAGCAGUCAUUGCAUUGAUACUAGUGAUAGUAAAAUAAAUGAUACAAUAUGUAAAGAAAUUAUUACUAUUUUUUUCAGAGAAGCAAGACACUGGUUGGUUGAUCUGAUUGAAUUCUAAUAAGGACAAAAUUAGCUCUAAAUAUGAGUCGAACCCCAGUUCUCCAGUAGGGAAUGCUUCUAGGCAUGAUUUGUUUGAGAGAGAAAUACAAUCUGUUAAUCUUUUUAGUUUAAUUAAAACCGAUAGACGUGAAUUAGCAGUAGGUGCAUGUGAAUUAACGUAAUUCUAGGAGAAAUUGAAACAGCGGCAGAGAUAAACACGUCAUGAGGGAGAGACAAAUAUAAUCAAAAUAGCAAUUAAUCAAAUUCCCUUUUGCGCAGCAUAGCUGUUCUUUGGUGGAAUUACAAUCAGCUUCCAUGAGCUAAUUGCUAGACCGGUUGUCAGGAUUAGUGUUUUUACUUCCCCUACUGCUCUCCACACCCUCCCUGUUCUGCCUUUUUCAUGCCAGUUAUUGUCCAUCCCAUUUAUGUUUGCUGCCUUUCUUUUUAUUGGUUCUGAAAUAUUCUUUAAUUAUCUCUUUCAAACCAUCAGCCUUCUGCUUUACACAAGUGUGUUUUGUCGGCCCAUUUUGAUCGUCCAAUUUAUCUGGAUUCUAUAGGAAUCUUUUCCAAUAUGUUUUUUAUCCGCCUUUUACCACGCUUGCAGGAAUUCACAAUGCCACAGUUGUUUAGCUUCAGGCAACGACAUACUGGUGUUAAAAUGAAAAUGCAUUAAUAAAGCACAACAACAACAAAGUAGCAUGACUUAAGGUAGAGUAACAACCGAGAGUAGCAUGUGAGUAUUAAAAAAGAAAUAGCAACCACCUUCAUCAUUGAAUUUAGUAAACAACUGCAGCAACUGUAGACAACUGUAGGUUUUGCAGAAGACACAAACAGUGUUCUCCUGGGGGACUAUCCUUUUUUUUUAUCCAUGUUAAUGGUGUAAUAGACCACACGGUUGAACACAACCAUUUGCUCCACCUGUAAGCAACGAUCUGACAUAUUAGAAGAAGUGAAGACGAGGCAGUAUGGAAAUCUAUUUUGGCUGUUGUGGUUUUGUUACGUUUUCAUUCAUUUUUCUUCUUUAUACUAUUUUCUUUAGCCAACAAAGCUUGAGUUAUACGGUAGAUCUUCCCCUAUCCUUCCUGUGCUGAGGUUUGAUUGUGAUGAACUUCUUAACAGCCCCCUGCCAUGGGCGCCAACACACCUUAUGAAACAUCCAGCUUUUCCUUAAUAGUUAAUCAUGUGAGACAUCAAAGAGUGAGGCGCCUGCCUUGAUCAAAACAUAUCUGAAGACAUGGCUUGUUGCACUGCUAGUACUCCUCAAGAUAAGGCCCAGCAUGUGUCUGUGUCUGCAUGAGAAGAAAGGGAAAGCGAAUGCGAAUGUGAGCAAAUUAUUUUGCUUUGCAAAAAAUAUCCAUUCCUUGGUGUUUGUCACAUACCGGUUUAUUUUAAUGAAUUCAAAACGGUGUCACAUA
ensembl:lncRNA